CCUACGGGAGGCAGCAGUGGGGAAUAUUGGACAAUGGGCGAAAGCCUGAUCCAGCCAUGCCGCGUGUGUGAAGAAGGCCUUCGGGUUGUAAAGCACUUUCAGUGGGGAAGAAAGCCUUGGGGCUAAUACCCUCGAGGAAGGACAUCACCCACAGAAGAAGCACCGGCUAACUCCGUGCCAGCAGCCGCGGUAAUACGGAGGGUGCGAGGCGUUAAUCGGAAUUACUGGGCGUAAAGCGCGCGUAGGCGGUCUGAUAAGCCGGUUGUGAAAGCCCCGGGCUCAACCUGGGAACGGCAUCCGGAACUGUCAGGCUAGAGUGCAGGAGAGGAAGGUAGAAUUCCCGGUGUAGCGGUGAAAUGCGUAGAGAUCGGGAGGAAUACCAGUGGCGAAGGCGGCCUUCUGGACUGACACUGACGCUGAGGUGCGAAAGCGUGGGUAGCAAACAGGAUUAGAUACCCGAGUAGUC
rnacentral:rRNA from 1 species